GAGAGGGCGGCGGCGGCGGCGGCGCGCGCGGAGCCGUGACGUGCGCCUUUCUUUCUUCUCUCCCUCUCCCUCUCCGGAAAGCCGGGAAGCAUGAGCGUGCAGACCUGCCGCUGCGGCGGCCGCCCCGGCUCCUCGCCUCCCCCUUUUCUGGCCGCCCCUCGCCGGUGAGAGGAGAGACCGCGAGAAGGGAAGAUGGGGGCCGUCCUGAGGAGCCUCCUGGCCUGCAGUUUCUGUGCGCUCCUGAGAGCGGCCCCUUUGUUGCUUUAUGCAAACAGACGGGACUUGCGAUUGGUUGAUGCUACGAAUGGCAAAGAGAAUGCUACGAUUGUAGUUGGAGGCUUGGAGGAUGCAGCUGCGGUGGACUUUGUGUUUGGUCAUAGCUUGAUAUACUGGAGUGAUGUCAGCGAAGAAGCCAUUAAACGAACAGAAUUUAACAAAACUGAGAGUGUACAGAAUGUUGUUGUCUCUGGAUUAUUGUCCCCUGAUGGGCUGGCAUGCGAUUGGCUUGGAGAAAAAUUAUACUGGACAGAUUCUGAAACAAAUCGGAUUGAAGUUUCUAAUUUAGAUGGAUCUUUACGAAAAGUUUUAUUUUGGCAAGAGUUGGAUCAACCCAGAGCUAUUGCCUUAGAUCCUUCAAGUGGGUUCAUGUACUGGACAGACUGGGGAGAAGUACCAAAGAUAGAACGUGCUGGAAUGGAUGGUUCAAAUCGCUUCAUUAUAAUAAACACUGAAAUUUACUGGCCAAAUGGACUGACUUUGGAUUAUGAAGAACAGAAGCUUUAUUGGGCAGAUGCAAAACUCAAUUUCAUCCACAAAUCAAAUCUGGAUGGAACAAAUCGGCAGGCAGUGGUUAAAGGUUCCCUUCCACAUCCUUUUGCCUUGACAUUAUUUGAGGACACAUUGUACUGGACUGACUGGAAUACACACUCCAUUUUGGCUUGCAACAAAUACACUGGCGAGGGUCUGCGUGAAAUCCAUUCUAACAUCUUCUCUCCCAUGGAUAUACAUGCCUUCAGCCAACAGAGGCAGCCAAAUGCGACAAAUCCAUGUGGAAUUGAUAAUGGUGGUUGUUCCCACUUGUGUUUGAUGUCUCCAGUCAAGCCUUUCUAUCAGUGUGCUUGCCCAACUGGGGUCAAACUCCUGGAGAAUGGAAAAACCUGCAAAGAUGGUGCCACCGAAUUACUGCUUUUAGCCCGAAGGACAGACUUAAGACGCAUUUCUUUGGAUACACCAGAUUUCACAGACAUCGUUUUACAGUUAGAAGACAUCCGUCAUGCCAUUGCCAUAGAUUAUGACCCCGUGGAAGGCUAUAUCUACUGGACUGAUGAUGAAGUGAGGGCCAUACGCCGCUCGUUCAUAGAUGGAUCUGGCAGUCAGUUUGUGGUCACUGCGCAGAUUGCGCAUCCUGAUGGUAUUGCUGUUGACUGGGUUGCCCGAAAUCUUUAUUGGACAGACACUGGCACUGAUCGGAUAGAAGUGACAAGGCUCAAUGGGACCAUGAGGAAGAUCUUGAUUUCAGAGGACUUAGAGGAACCCCGGGCUAUUGUGUUAGAUCCCAUGGUUGGGUACAUGUAUUGGACUGACUGGGGAGAAAUCCCGAAAAUUGAGCGAGCAGCUCUGGACGGUUCUGACCGAGUAGUGCUGGUUAACACUUCUCUUGGUUGGCCAAAUGGUUUAGCCUUGGAUUAUGAUGAAGACAAAAUAUACUGGGGAGAUGCCAAAACAGACAAAAUUGAGGUUAUGAAUAUUGAUGGCACUGGGAGACGAGUACUGGUGGAAGACAAAAUUCCUCACAUAUUUGGGUUUACAUUGUUGGGUGACUAUGUUUACUGGACUGACUGGCAGAGGCGUAGCAUCGAAAGAGUACAUAAACGAAGUGCAGAGAGGGAAAUCAUCAUAGAUCAACUUCCUGACCUCAUGGGCCUAAAGGCCACAAAUGUUCAUCGAAUCAUCGGUUCCAACCCUUGCGCAGAGGAAAAUGGGGGAUGUAGCCAUCUUUGCCUGUACAGGCCUCAGGGCCUUCGUUGUGCCUGCCCCAUUGGCUUUGAGCUCAUCAGUGACAUGAAGACUUGCAUUGUCCCAGAGGCUUUCCUUUUGUUUUCACGGAGAGCAGAUAUCAGGCGAAUUUCUUUGGAAACUAACAAUAAUAAUGUGGCCAUUCCUCUCACUGGUGUCAAAGAAGCUUCUGCUUUGGAUUUUGAUGUGACAGACAACCGUAUUUACUGGACCGAUAUAUCCCUCAAGACCAUCAGCAGAGCCUUUAUGAAUGGCAGUGCCCUGGAGCACGUGGUGGAAUUCGGCUUAGAUUAUCCAGAAGGCAUGGCAGUAGACUGGCUUGGGAAGAACCUGUACUGGGCAGACACAGGAACGAAUCGAAUUGAGGUGUCAAAGUUGGACGGGCAGCACCGACAAGUUUUGGUGUGGAAAGACCUAGAUAGUCCCAGAGCUCUUGCGUUGGACCCUGCUGAAGGAUUUAUGUAUUGGACUGAAUGGGGUGGAAAACCUAAGAUAGACAGAGCUGCCAUGGAUGGAAGUGAACGUACUACAUUAGUUCCAAAUGUGGGGCGGGCAAACGGCCUAACUAUUGAUUAUGCUAAAAGGAGGCUAUAUUGGACAGACCUGGACACCAACUUAAUAGAAUCUUCAAAUAUGCUUGGACUCAACCGGGAAGUUAUAGCAGAUGACUUGCCUCAUCCUUUUGGCUUAACUCAGUACCAAGAUUACAUCUACUGGACGGACUGGAGCCGACGCAGCAUUGAACGUGCCAACAAAACCAGUGGCCAAAACCGCACCAUCAUUCAGGGCCAUUUGGAUUAUGUGAUGGACAUCCUCGUCUUUCACUCCUCUCGGCAGGCAGGGUGGAAUGAGUGUGCUUCCAGCAAUGGGCACUGCUCCCACCUCUGCUUGGCUGUGCCAGUUGGGGGUUUUGUUUGUGGGUGCCCUGCCCACUACUCUCUUAAUGCUGACAACAGGACGUGCAGUGCACCAACUACUUUCCUGCUCUUCAGUCAGAAAAGUGCCAUCAACCGCAUGGUGAUUGAUGAGCAGCAGAGCCCUGACAUCAUCCUUCCUAUCCACAGCCUUCGGAAUGUCCGGGCCAUUGACUAUGACCCACUGGACAAGCAACUCUAUUGGAUUGACUCACGGCAAAACAUGAUCCGAAAAGCACAAGAAGAUGGCAGCCAGGGUUUUACUGUGGUUGUGAGCUCAGUUCCAAAUCAGAACCUGGAAAUACAACCCUAUGACCUCAGCAUUGAUAUUUAUAGCCGCUACAUUUAUUGGACUUGUGAGGCCACCAAUGUCAUUAAUGUAACAAGAUUAGAUGGGAGAUCAAUUGGAGUGGUAUUAAAAGGCGAGCAAGACCGACCUCGAGCCAUUGUGGUAAACCCGGAGAAAGGGUAUAUGUAUUUUACCAAUCUUCAGGAAAGGUCUCCCAAAAUUGAACGGGCUGCUUUGGAUGGAACAGAACGGGAGGUCCUCUUUUUUAGUGGCUUAAGUAAACCAGUUGCGUUAGCCCUUGAUAGCAGAUUGGGCAAACUCUUUUGGGCAGAUUCCGAUCUCCGGAGAAUUGAAAGCAGUGAUCUCUCAGGUGCCAACCGGAUAGUAUUAGAAGACUCCAAUAUCUUGCAGCCCGUGGGACUGACUGUGUUUGAAAACUGGCUAUAUUGGAUUGAUAAGCAGCAGCAAAUGAUUGAAAAAAUUGACAUGACAGGUCGAGAGGGUAGAACCAAAGUCCAGGCUCGAAUUGCCCAGCUUAGUGACAUUCAUGCAGUAAAGGAGCUGAACCUUCAGGAAUAUAGACAGCACCCUUGUGCUCAGGAUAAUGGUGGCUGUUCACAUAUUUGUCUUGUAAAAGGAGAUGGUACUACCCGGUGCUCCUGCCCCAUGCACUUGGUUCUGCUUCAGGAUGAGCUAUCAUGUGGAGAGCCCCCAACAUGUUCUCCUCAGCAGUUUACUUGUUUCACGGGAGAAAUUGACUGUAUCCCUGUGGCUUGGCGGUGUGAUGGGUUUACUGAGUGUGAAGACCACAGUGACGAGCUCAACUGCCCCGUGUGCUCCGAGUCCCAGUUCCAGUGUGCCAGUGGGCAGUGUAUCGAUGGUGCCCUCCGAUGCAACGGAGAUGCAAACUGCCAGGAUAAGUCCGACGAGAAGAACUGUGAAGUGCUUUGUUUAAUUGACCAGUUCCGCUGUUCCAAUGGUCAGUGCAUUGGAAAACAUAAGAAAUGUGAUCAUAAUGUGGAUUGCAGUGACAAAUCAGAUGAACUGGAUUGUUAUCCAACUGAGGAACCAGCUCCACAGGCCACCAAUACAGUUGGCUCAGUUAUUGGAGUAAUUGUCACCAUUUUUGUGUCUGGAACCAUAUACUUCAUCUGCCAGAGAAUGUUGUGUCCACGUAUGAAGGGAGAUGGGGAAACCAUGACUAAUGACUAUGUCGUUCAUGGACCAGCUUCUGUGCCUCUUGGUUAUGUGCCACACCCAAGUUCUUUGUCAGGAUCUCUUCCAGGAAUGUCUCGAGGUAAAUCAAUGAUCAGCUCCCUCAGUAUCAUGGGGGGAAGCAGUGGACCCCCUUAUGACCGAGCUCAUGUCACAGGAGCAUCAUCGAGUAGUUCUUCAAGCACCAAAGGCACUUACUUCCCUGCAAUUUUGAACCCUCCGCCAUCCCCAGCCACAGAGCGAUCACAUUACACUAUGGAAUUUGGUUAUUCUUCAAAUAGUCCUUCCACUCAUAGGUCCUACAGCUACAGGCCAUAUAGCUACCGGCACUUUGCACCCCCUACCACACCCUGCAGCACAGAUGUCUGUGACAGUGACUAUGCUCCCAGCCGGAGAAUGACCUCCGUGGCAACGGCCAAGGGCUACACUAGUGACUUGAACUAUGACUCAGAGCCUGUGCCCCCGCCUCCCACCCCCCGAAGCCAGUACUUGUCAGCAGAAGAGAACUAUGAAAGCUGCCCACCCUCUCCAUACACAGAGAGGAGCUACUCUCAUCACCUCUACCCUCCGCCCCCCUCCCCCUGCACAGACUCCUCCUGAGGAGGGGCCCUCCUCCUCUGACUGCCUCCAACGCAAAAAUGUAAAUACAAAUCUGGUUGAGAUCUGGAGGGGGGGAGGGAGCUACUAGAGAAAGAUGAGGCAGACCAUGUACAGUUAAAAAUUAUAAAUGGGGUAGGGAAUACUGGAGAUAUUUGUACAGAAGAAAAGGAUAUUUAUAUAUUUUCUUAAAACAGCAGAUUUGCUGCUUGUGCCAUAAAAAUUUGUAUAAAAAAUAAAUUUGUACUAAAAGUUUUAUUUUUGCAAACUAAAUACACUAAGCAUGCCUUAAACCCAGUGAAGUGACUGAGUACAAAGGAAACAGGAAUAUUAAAGGCAUCACUGACCAGGAAUGUCUGGGAUUUAUUAUACCAAAAAUAAAGAGAGAGAAAAAGAGAAGAAGAAGAAGAAAAAUUUAAGUCCAUCUCAGAGCAGCAAACCAUAGAUACUUGGAAGUAGCCAAAUAGCCUUCAUGUUAACUAACAUUUGAGGGCCAGUAAGUUUAGGAAAUCACAAAAGGAAAAAAAGUAUUAAAACUAACUUUGGACAAAGGGCUUUAUUUUCUCUAGGAGUCCAAUUAUUUUAGUGAGGAAAAUAGGUCUUUAUAAAAAUCCCUUGUGAGCAUUGCUGUUGUAGGAGAUGAGCUGUCCGGUAAGCCGGUGUGGGGCUCUGUGUGUGCAAGUCUUCUGUCUCUACCUUAGCUCACGGCCUCUGUCAGAAGAAUUCAUUUUUUUCUCUGGGUGUUUUUACCUUGCUUCCUCCCCAAGCAGCUCUGUAGGCCAUUUUGCCAAGAUAUCACAAUUUAUUUGAAGAAGCUUUUUACCUGAAGAUUGAUAAAAUGGAAUUUUCUAAAUUAAGGUUUCAUUUUAAUAUUUCUACUAGCUCUGUUCCUCUGUAGGCUUAGCUCUUCAAUUUGACUGCUGUUUUUGCAUAAUGAUCAAAGGUUAGACAUAUUACUGCUCCUCUUCCAAGAUUGUUUUAAUGCUCAUUAAAAUAUAUUUUUACAACACAUAGGCAAUGUUUAAGAAUUACAAAUUUAACCAUUAUGUUUUGUUGUAAAUUAAUCAUAUAUCCUUGCAGUACUUUCAGCAUAUAAUACCACAAUAUGAAAUCAUUUAUAUAUAUAUAUAUAUAUUUUUUUUUUUUCCUAGUAACACAUUUAAAUAUGUUCUGGUUAGAGACAAUCUAUUUAAAAAGAGAAUUUUUUGGUUAUCAUUAGGUUUUCCCUUUAUUAACUGUUUGUGACAUUUUCAUGUUCUUUAGGCCAAUUUUUCUGAGUGAUGUCUACAUAUGUACCUCUUUUAAUGUGUGACGUGACUUUAAUAUCUUCCUGUUACCCAAUGUGAAUGUUAGAUUGUUUUCAAAUUAUCCACAAAUUAUUCUUAUAAUCACCUCUUUAUAUAUUUUUGUGUGUUCUCUCUUAUCCUGUUAUGGAUUAAGAUGAUUUAACACAUUUAACAAUAGGGAUUGAAUGAGAAGGCCAGCCAUUCACUUCUCAGCUGUCAGAAUUCAGGUGGAGGGGAGUAAUGGAAGGCUCUUAGUCGUCGGCUGACCUGCGUGGCUCCGGUGCUGCUGACGUGUGGGAUGAUUCUAGCACUGCUCUGCCGCCUUGCCAGGAGUUAGUUUCCUGCUUUUUACAUGUUUCCAGCACUUCUCUGCUAAAACAGAAUGUGUUUUUAAACUAAUAUAUUUUUACCUUAACAGAUGUUGGUCAGUCAGUUAUUUGAAUGAUUUCGUUUUUUUUUAAUUCUGUCUUGCUGAGGCCUCUCUGGAUUUCAGGGCCCAGGAGAAAAACCAUGGAAGAAAAGAUUCAGAAUUUUGGCAGGGGUGAGGUAACGUUUUAAGCAAUUAAAAAUACCUAAGGAAGCUUUUUGAAGAGAAAAAAGUAGUGGUUUCAGAAUAAUGCUUAGAUUGUGGAGGGCACCUUCUGUGAAUCAAGUGCCCUUGAUUUUGCGUAUAAAUAACUGGUGAUCCAUCAGCGUUCUGCAUUAACUCUUCCUGUCGGUGGAACAAAGUGCUCACAGUCUAACAGAAUGGAUACUUGGAGUUGCAUUCUGUGACACGGGGGCCUCUGACGCCUAAAUGAAGAUGGAAAGGUUAGCAAUAACUGGGUAUCAAUUAGAAUUUGAGAAUUCUAUAUGUUUACAUUUUUUAAUGUGCAUCUUUAUCUGGUGGGCUUCCCAUGUGGAAACUUGCACUAUAACGAAUUAAGAAGAAUAUUGCCUUGUUAUAUCUCAGUCCAAGUGCUUGUACUGCGAUGGCAAUGGCCUCUUCUUGCAAAAUACUGAUUUGUGUGCCAAUUUGUUUGAAAUUAUUUGAAGGCAGUUCCGCUUAAUCUCAGAGUCCUCUUUCUUGGUAGUUGAGAUGGAUUCUUAAUAUUUGAGGGGGGGGGUACUUUUAAAUGAGAGAAUUGUCAAAAAUCAGGGAAAGAUUGGCCCUCAGGCUACAUGGACAGUUAAGCUUAAGUGUCUUGAUUAUUGAACACAAGAGGUUUAAUUGGGAAAACUGAAGAUAAAAAGGAAACAUUGACAUUUGCUGCCACCCUUCUAUAGUAGCAUACAUGAGAAGUCUACGUAACAGAAAAUUCGUUAUUUUAGUUUUCUAAUUUUAAUAUAACAAUACUCUGAGAUAUACCAUCAAGUAGUAUCUGAUGCUUGAGAACAUCUAUUCUAAAGGGAUGAUAUAUAUUUAGAAAUGAAGACUUUACAGUACAUUUUCAUCCAACAGGCCAAUAAUUUGGGGGGCAGAGCUUUUGAGUAGAAUUUUAGCCUGACUGAGGAUUAUACAUUUGUUCAUUUUAAAACACCCUAAAGUCAUUAAUUUGUAUAAGGCCAACUCAAUUUUGAUAAUAUAUAAAAAUAUGUACCAUCUGUGUUAGGUAGCAAUUUGUUUGGGGGUAAAAUCUUUUUGUUUUGCCAUAAAGGCCUGUUGAUGAAGACUACUUCAGGUAGAGUUAGUAGCUAUGGCUUACCUAGGCUGUUAAGUGCUUCUGUGUGUGUUUAUGUAGCCUGAUACCAGUCAUCUUAGUGUUGACUACUUCUGGUACCAGAGAGGCUUACCUUGGGCAGGUUGGCUCCUCUGUGAUAGUUGUGCUAGAGUAGUCAGCCAUGUGCCUCGAUUGGAUUCCUAGGAAUGGAGUUUUUAAAAUUGUUUUUUCUCCUGCGGUGGGGGAAACUUGCCACUUCAUUGAUUUGCAUGUUGUAAGAACUUCGUAUUGGUUACCAUUACACAUCUGACAAAAUUCAGUAGCAAAAAUCUUGGGCCUUACAUACCCCACAUAUACCGUCCUUUUAAUCAGCUGUAAGUCUGUAUAAUGACAUAACGUAGUCUGUUUGGGGUGUGGAUUUGAGCAGGUGAAUAUCAGUUGGCCAGCAAAUGCUUGGGCAUCCACAAAUGAGACUAUACACCAAGUGUAGACAGGGCCUGAGUCAUAUGUUUAUAAUCAAGUGUUGUUUAAAACAUGUUCUCAGAAUUCUUAAACUCAAACUUGAUUUUAUUUGGUAUUCCUUUCUCUAUCCGAAGCCUAAAAUGAGCCAAGAGAAAUCACAUGAUUUUAGAAAGUACCGGGAGCAUAUGUGUGGUUUCUGACUUCUGGGAUGGCAUCAUUUCAUACUAGUUGCAAAAUUUGGCUUUUGAAAUUUUCAGUUUUAGGGGGAUAACAUUUUACAUCUGUAGUUUUUAAAUUAUAAGCAUUGUCAAUCCAUAUACUCAGGAUAUUUCUCUUGGACUUGAUUCUGCAUCUCAUGACACUAAUAAGCCUGCACCUGAGUAGAAGGGGAGGUAGAUUCUCUGAUCUUACUGGCAGUCCUCAUCCUCCUUCAGUCCAGGUAGUUUUCCUCAGUUUUUCUUUUUCAUAAGGCAUCCUUAAGCUGUUGUUAAGUUUAUUGCUGUAUACAGCUCUCAUGACUUUACAGAUAGAACUAUAAACAGUGUGUUUUCUUGUACUCAGAGUAUAGACCUAACAAAAACUAACGUUUAGAUUCCACCAUUACCUAGGAUUUACCCAAAAGUUUACACCAAAGAUGUAGAGACAAUGUGCUUUUUGCUUAUGCUUAACUGUCCAUUUUUUAAAACAAAUGUAAGCAGGUCAGGGAUAUAUAUAUAUAUGUCAUACAUGUAUGAUAUAUAUAUAUAUAUAUAUAUAUACAUCAAUGCAAUGCAUAAAUAUGAAUAGUGAGAAGGAAAAGAAAGUGAAUAAGUCUAAUUUUGCAUGAAAUUAAGUAUCUGGGGUUAGGAAAAUGUAAAAAGAAUUGAGAGGAUACCAAGAGCUUAAGCUGGACUAGCCUUAUUUGCAAGUGAAGGAUCUGGUGCUGCUUUCAGAUGUUUAUCCUUUGUGUUUUUAAAUUUUUUCUUAAGCUUUAAUCUUUGUUAUUGUCUUAAAGUCAGCUGGUGUUUCUUGUUCAUGGACUUUGGUACGAUGGUGCUUUGCAAGGAUGUAUUUAUAUUUAAAUGGCCAACAUUUGGUCAGCCCUUGUCCACUCUUCACUCCCCCCUUUUUGUAAAAUAAGUGCUUUAAUUGUAAACUGUAUAAAAAUACCUUGUAUAAAUCCCCUUUUGAUUAUUACAGUAAGCUGAGUUGUAACAAAUGAAAUGUUGAUUUUUAUAAUAAAACAGUGGAAA